rnacentral:lncRNA from 1 species
CCCUGCACCAAUCAUGGCCCUGAACUUGGACCAAUCACAGACCUGUAGCUGCUUUAUAAGAGGUGCUUACCAGCCACUUCUGGGCCAGUUUAGGGUCCACCCAGUUUCCUGACCCUGUGCAGCAGCACAGGUCUCUUGAAACACAGCCUCACUUUGGUGGUCCUGUAGUGGAGGUUCCAAAUGUCCUGUAAAUCUGCUGGGGAUCUUACCCUGAGCAGUGUGGACAGAGCAGACUUUUCAAAAGGAAGAGGAGUAAACAGGAGGGAGUGGCCCCAGAUGGUGGUGACUCGGAAACUACAUUACCAGAGCACUGGGAUGGACCUAGGCCUUUCCCUCCGUCCGGUGGCCCUUGUGUGGCUGUGCACUUGCCGCAGGAGUUUGCGGGUCCUCAGGCAGUGAGGCGACCACACAGCAAGGACUUCAUGGAGGCUCCCUGGACGCCAACAGUACUAACUGGCGUGUGAGGGACCCUGGAAGAGGGCCUCAGCCCAGGACUCUGCCAAGUGACUGUGACCCCCCACACAGGAAUGAGGGUCCACCAGGCCACUUCUAGACCCUGGCCCAAAGAAGCCCUUCUUACGGCCAAUAAUGAAUGAUCAUUUCAAGCCACUGUGUUCGGGGCGCUUUGUUCCCCAGCACUGAGUAAUUCAGGAAGGGGGGAGGCAGGAGCUUUGGCCUGGAGCUCUGGGCUGGAGCAGUGGGUGAAGGACAGCGCGGAGAUAAGCAGGCAGCCAGGCAGAGGACAGGGUUAGAAGUCAGGAG